rnacentral:lncRNA from 10 species
GCCUGGGUGCUGGCGAAGCGGAGGCCGGAGUAAGAAGACUGUUAGAAUGCCCUCGGUAACACAGAGGCUGAGAGAUCCUGACAUAAAUCCUUGUUUGUCGGAAUCUGAUGCUUCCACCAGAUGUCUGGAUGAAAAUAACUAUGACAGGGAAAGGUGUUCCACUUACUUCUUGAGAAUUCUAUCGUGAUGCAGAGAAGAAAGAACGGAGUGAAGCCAUUUAUGCCUACGGCAGCAGAAAGAGAUGAAAUCUUGAGAGCAGUGGGAAAUAUGCCCUAUUGAAUGUUUGCAUUAAAAGUGUUUAUAUAACUUAGAAGCAGAUGAAUAUUUCUAAUAAAUGAUUGCUGUAAUAUUUAAGACUGUACACCCCUCACCCAGACAGACCUUAAGUUCUUCAAGUGGAGACAGUGAAGUCACCCCGUGUCCUUUUUGCUUGCUCUCAGUGCCAUGCCGAUGGUAUGUUGCUGUUGGCUGUGUUGUGGCAUGAGUUUGCAUGACUUUCUGGAGGCAUGGAGUUAGGUAAGGCUACAUGAGAAAUUGAGCUUUUCCACUGGGUUUUG